AUCACAUCGUUUAAGACAAAUGGUGGACACAAAUUAUUUAGUUUGCUGGAGAUCCGAGUGGUGCACGGUUGGUUAGCUAAUCCCGAGGAUAACAUCUAUGAGACGGUCAGGUCCUUCUCUUGCGAUGAUCUGGAGUCACACAUUUCAUCCCUUGAUGCUCUGAAUGAUAAUUCUGAAGCUACACAGAGGGAUAGGGAUGCAAGCAAAAAUUUAUUGGGUGCAAAGAAUCAGAUUACAAGUUAUGGAUAUCAGUCUUUGUGCCAAGAAUUACUGAAGGAUGAAUAUGCUAUCCUUUAUCGGGGGAGUGACACCUUCAAUCUUAUUCGCGAGAAAGAUGGAUCCAUUUUGAUCCUGGAAACAGACACAAAUAUAUUAGAUGCUUACCCCCAAGCAAGGUGGAGGAUUCUGGAAGAGGCGGAUGAGGAACCAAUUUACUUGAAUUGCAAAUACAUUCCACUUAAGAAUCAACCCCACAUCGCUAAAGCAAAACUAUGGUACUAUGAGAAGUUGAAUUCAAGAAAUGUAACAAAGGAUGAAGCUUCUAUUCAGAAGCCAACAGGAAGUGAGGGAAAACUCUCAAAUCAGGAAGCAAUAUUGCAAACGAAACAGGCUUCUGAUGAGACACUGCACUAUAGAGUUGUUCAGUUCAAGCAUGAGAACUUGCUUACUAGCAUUAUUUGCCACAAGGGAUAUUCACUUUGGACUGCUCUCUAUAACCAUUUAGUUUUGAAUAGAGCUCUCGCAGUGAAACCAUCGGAAGUAAAACUCCAAUUUCUGCCUGAGAGAGAGGUGAAAGACGCGAUCAUUGCACAUCUCAAACUUGUACUUGGUGAGAUAGAAAAAAGCGAGAAAUCAAAACAUGAAAAGCUGUAUAACUGUGAGUUUAUCUGGAAAUGUUUCAUACGUUCUACAGCAGAUACUCAUCAGAUCUAUCCUGUUCUUGACAGCUUCACAUCAUUCAAGGAUUCUUUUGGACGUAGCCUAAUUUGUGUGCUGGGGAUCGAAUUGGUGCAUGGUUGGGUAGCUAAUCCCGAGGAUAACAUCUAUGAGACGGUCAAGUCCUUCUCUUCUGAUGAACUGGAAUCACACAUUUCGUCCCUUGAUGCUCGGAGUGAUAAUUCUGAAGCUGAACAGAGGGAUAGGGAUGCAAGCAAAAAUUUGUUGGCUGCAAGGAAUCAGUUUACAAGUUAUGGGUAUGUUGGACACUAG
rnacentral:lncRNA from 1 species